CCCGGUUCGCCGGGACGAAAUGUGGUCGGGUGAUCCGACUGAAUCGCAAG
ncrna:unclassified sequences eL15-Euryarchaeota ribosomal protein leader